rnacentral:rRNA from 1 species
GACGAACGCUGGCGGCGUGCUUAACACAUGCAAGUCGAACGGUGAAGGGGUCUGCUUUUGUGGGCCCUGGAUGAGUGGCGAACGGGUGAGUAACACGUGAGUAACCUGCCCCCUUCUUCUGGAUAACCGCAUGAAAGUGUGGCUAAUACGGGAUAUUCUGGGUCUGUCGUAUGAUGGGUCUGGGAAAGAUUGCGCCUUUGGGUGUUGUUGGUGGGGGAUGGGCUCGCGGCCUAUCGGAUUGGUGGUGGGGUGAUGGCCUACCAGGUCGGGGACGGGUAGCCGACGUGGGCGGGUGGUCGGUCGCACUGGGACUGGGACACGGCCCAGGCGCCUACGGGAGGCAGCAGUGGGGAAGAUUGCGCAGUGGUCGCAAGUCUGAUGCAGCGACGCCGCGUGAGGGAUGGCGGCCUUGGGGGUGUGAACCUCGUUCUCCAGUGAAGCAGGCCUGCUCCUUGUGGGUGGGUUGACGGUAGCUGGAGAAGAAGCGCCGGCUAACUACGUG